rnacentral:SRP_RNA from 1 species
AUGCGCAGCUGGGGAAUUAGCGGCUCCCUGUACCUGAAAUCCGCUAUAGCAGGGGUGAUAUCCCGUAGAGGGUGUUUUGGCGUAUAGCAGUCUUUGGUUAUCUGGUGUUGAGACUUGGGUCUCACGCGACGGAAAUCCGUGAACCGUGUCAGGUCAGGAAUGAAGCAGCACUAAGCGGAACCUUCUGGGUGCCGUGAGGGUGCCUGGGUUGAGUCAGAGGCCACUGUAACGUGUACGUUUUGGACAUUCGAAGCGGGAUGCGCUU